GGCUGCAGAGGCUGCGCCCUCCCCGCUCCUGGCCUUGAGGCUGCUCUGUUCCUGAGCUGGGCACAGAAGCUGCAGUGACUCAAGGUCCACCGUGGGGUCGGACCUCGCCCUGGGCCCAGCUGUGUGCUGUAGAGCAGAGGGUUCUGUGGAUGACCGUGGCUUCCAGGAAAGGCUCUGACCCCUUAGGCUUCCAUGCCACAAGCAUCAACCUGGCCACAUCCAGGCCCAGGGCUCUGGCCGGGUAGCCUCCCUGGACCCUUCACUCAGGACAGCCAGGGCGCCAUCGGACACACUCGGUGGAAGGAGGCCACAGCCCGUCUCUGCUUCCGCUGCCACUGCUGAGCUUUGCGGCCCAGCUGUUCUGGUGACUCAGAGGAAAGUCUGCAGCCCGUCCCAGCUUAUCUCUGGCUUACUUCCGCAAGGACCCAUCCACGCUUGGAGUCCUGAGAAUCCCUGGGAAGAAGUCAGCAUGUGGUAGCAGAGCGCGUGUGGACAGACCUUCCUCAGGGCAGCCAAUGGCCAGCGAAAGCCGGAGAUGAGGUCCAGCAUCCCUGGCCACCAGGGAUCCGGAAUUAAAAGACUCUGACACUCUGGCUAAAAGGCAGGGGUUUGUUCCACGGAAGUUCAUCCACCUGGAGAGAGACACAGGUGCAGCACAUCCACCCCAGCAACACUCUCCAGGGAAAAGGGAAACCGAGGCACACAGGGAAUUUCCGAAGCCAGUGCACAGAGGACAUUCGAUGUCACACUCCAGAUGGCAUUUGAAAGAAAAAUUAAACAAAAAUUUAAACCUAACAAUUUAAACAUUUAGUAAACAGAAACUUCUCAUGA